AGACCGAUAGCGAACAAGUAGAGUGAUCGAAAAGAUGAAAAGCACUUUGGAAAGAGAGUUAAAAAGCACGUGAAAUUGUUGAAAGGGAAGCGCUUGCAAUCAGACUUGUUUAAACUGUUCGGCCGGUCUUCUGACCGGUUUACUCAGUUUGGACAGGCCAGCAUCAGUUUCGGCGGCCGGAUAAAGGCUCUGGGAAUGUGGCCUUCACUUCGGUGAAGGUGUUAUAGCCCAGGGUGUAAUACGGCCAGCCGGGACUGAGGUCCGCGCUUCGGCUAGGAUGUAGAGCCGAUAUGGUUGUAAGCGACCCGUCUUGAAACACGGACCAAG
rnacentral:rRNA from 1 species